AUGGCAUCAAUAAUACUGUCAGUGUUUGGUGCCUACCCAUUGGAUGGAUUCCAAGCUGGGGUGGUCACUGGACAGCUUUUCCUUCAGUCUCUGCUCCUUUUUCCCUGUACUUCUUUUAGACAGGAACAAUUCUGGGUCAGAAAUUAUGAUGUUUGUGCCUGGAGGCGGUACUGGGAGCAGGUGCUUGCCUUUCUGUGGCCUUGGUUUGAGCUGAUCCUGGAGAUGAAUGUCCAGAGUGUCUGCAGCACUGACCCCCAGCGCCUUGGGGGACUGGACACUCGGCCCCACUAUAUCACAGGCCGCUAUGCUGAGUUCUCCUCUGCACUUGUCAGCAUCAACCAGAGGAUCCCCAAUGAACGCACACUGCAGCUGCUGGGACAGCUCCAGGUGGAGGUGGAAGUGGAGAAUUUUGUCCUCCGAGUGGAUGCAGAGUUCUCAAGGAAGGAGCAGCUUAUGUUUCUGAUCAACAACUAUGACAUGAUGCUAGGGGUGCUGAUGGAGCGGGCUGCUGAUGACAGCAGAGGUGGCGAGUUUCCAGCAGCUGCUUAAUGCUCUGUCACAGGAGUUCAUUGAGGAGUUGCUGUCUCCCCCCCUUCGGGAGUCUGGUGGCAUUUGUGAAGGUGGCUGAAGCCUUCAGUGAGUGUGGGCAGGCUGAGCGGCUCCGAGGAGAGGAAGCCCGAGUCACUCAGCUAAUCCGUGACUUUGGUAGAUCCUGUAAGGCAUCAGUGGAGUCCCUGAGUCAGGAUGUAAUUCGGAGUUUUACCAAAUUCUGAAAUGGAACCAGCAUCAUCCAGGGGGAGCUGACACAGCUGAUCCAGCUCUACCAUCGCUUCCAUCAGGUGCUGUCCCAGUCCCAGCACCAGCUCCAUGCACUCCCAGCCAGGACUGAGCUCAUCAACAUUCAUCACCUCAUGGUAGAGCUGAAGAAACACAAGCCCAACUUCUGAUUCAG